rnacentral:lncRNA from 1 species
AUACUUCAUAUAUAUAUAUUGUCCUGUUCAAUCUUAGGCUUAAUAACAUACCAGCAGCCGGAAUUGUUCAAGGUGAAAUUUGUCUUCACUAAAGGUGUACGCACACAUGCAGGUUCUCGAGGAGGUAGGGAGGCUAAUGGAGGAGUACAAGGACGAGGUGACCAGCAUCACCGUCACCGGCCAUAGCCUUGGAGCGUCACUCGCCACCCUCACCGCCAUCGACCUGGUGGCCAACGACGUCAACGUGCCCCCUAACUCGAAGCAACCGCCGUGCCCCGUGACAGCGAUACUGCUGGCGUGCCCGCGAGUCGGGAACCCCACGUUCAAGUCCGCCUUCGACUCAUUCCACCUCCUGCGGGCACUCCACGUGGCGAACGCCAAAGACCUCGUGCCACAGAACCCUCCCUCUGUGUUGUUAAUGUGGUACGUGGACUGCGCGACAGCAACGAUCGUAAUUGACACGGACCGGUCACCCUACGUGUUUCACAAAAUAUCGACCCACCACGUCCUCGAGUUGUACCUGCACGGUGUCGCAGGGGAUCAUGGCGACAAGGCGGACUUCAAACUAGUGGUUCCCCGCGACGUGGCGCUGGUGAACAAGACUAUCGACCUGCUGACAGACGAAUACCCAGUGCCGGGGAGCUGGUGGGUCAUUAAAAACAAAUGCAUGGUCAAGGGCACCGAUGGCCAGUGGAAACUCGAUGACUUCGAAGAAGCAUAGUUAAGUGGUUAAGACGGUAUACAACAUUGUUGCCUAUGGAUUCGGCAUGUACUAUAUAUGCUCUUGUGCUUGCUUGUGUGUUUGCAUUUCAAUCAUGUUGUCGGGCGUGAAUAUUUGUAGCAGAUGACGGCCUGGCCGAUCAUUCAGUUAUUGUCCUUCUAUUUCAUGCCUCCUACAAGUCUCGCUAUAUCAUGUACUUAUGCAUUGCUUCAUUGCUUUUAAAAAUGUCAUAUCCCGUGUCUAAAAGAGCUUCUUCUUUUUUAAUCUAAAGUGGCAUGUUCUUGGUGUUAAUGACAUGUACUUAGCCGAUUCAUGGUGCGUGAAUUGAGUUGGACGAACACAGGUAGUCCCGAGAAAAGAAAGAAAGCUGGUUCGGGAUCAAUCAACCAAAGCAAAAAGACUAAAUAAGACAGCUCGGUUAAAAUAGAUUUUGAUUUCUAUAUAACUUAAUGACUUUGGUCGUCAAGAGUCAUGGUCUCAUGGAAGCCAUACGUACUACAUUGAGAGGUUGGGUAAAUGAUUAACAGAAAUAGGGUGAACUAAAAUCGCAUAUCAUUGAGAUUCAAAAAGCAUCUCACUGGUGUUAGGAUAUUCUAGCCACAUCAUAUGUCCAUAUAAAACAGUAUUUCAGACCCGCAAAAAGAACAGUAUUUCAGAAAUCGCAAUAUGCAAAAAAAAAAAAACUCACACCACCACAAUACAUGUCGUCUCUGUGGGUAAAUUAAUUGAAGCUGCCCUAUAUGAAAACUGUCCCAACCAUCAGAUGCCAGGUGUCAGGCUUCUCCUUGGCAUCGAGUGAAAUCCAUUAUAUGCUAGAAAUUGGCCGUGUUUGCUGAAUCAAUCAAAGGGCAUGUACGCGUUUAUUAUCUAGGAGUAUCUUAGAACCUAACUUGCUCCUUAAUUCGCUUAAAAUAGAUUUUUGAUCUCCAUAUAACUUAAUGACUUUGGUCGUCAGAUUUUUGAUCUCUAUAUAACUUAAUGACACAGGUAGUCCCAAGAAAUGAGCUUGAUUCGAUUCUUACUCCAGCAACUCACACCCCCUCCCUCCCCCUCCCCCCCCGGGCGACCCGGGCGGCAGCGCGAGCUCCACUCCCAGUCCUCCUCUCCCCCCCUGGGGCCGCCGCCAGGGCAAAGCCCCACAAGGUGACUGGCGGCGGGGCACCUUCUCCCCUUUUCCCUUGUGGCGGUGGGCGCGGGGCUCCCUGCCGGGGCAGAGGCGCCGGGCGGACGCGAGGCCCCGCAGCAGCGUGCUGGCUGAUGCGGCGCGACGGCAGUGGAGCGGCUGAUCGAGGCCCGGCGGCUGCGUCCCGGAGCGGCGUCCGACAUCCAGGUCUGGAUCCGGGGGCUUCGGGUCUUAUGGUGGUUUCCCUCGUCGGUUGCCUGUUGCUGGCUGGCCGGCGGUGGGGAAGACACACACCUGCGGGCCACGGCUGGUCAUGGCCGGCAGGGCGUGCGGGCCGAGGUGGCUAAGGCCGGAAGCUGCGGUCUCACCCCGGCAGUUCUUGCUGAUGGUGGCUGUGGUGCUCUGCCUGGUCGGGGGUGCAAGGCCUCAGCUUGGCAGGGAGGCGAUGCGGGCCUGUGGGGGCGUCGACGGCGCUGCGCUGGGUUCUGCUGAUGCCGCAAGGUGGUGGAGUUGCCCUUCUUCUCCUGCAUGUGGACCGACAGUACGCGGGGCUGGGCGGGUGCCCUUAAUGCUGGCCGCACGUAGAACGGGGGAGGUUUGGGGCCUGACACGGAUCGGAGCCUGUGCUUCGGGUAGAUGUGGUCGGGCGUGGCCUGGGAUUUGCCCCCGCGGGUGGUGGUUGUUCUCUCCUCACGGGUAACGUGGUCAGUGGUGGUGGCGGGGACAUCGUCGCUUUGGUAGGUGGCUCGUCACCGGUGAACAGAAAAAAGAAAAGAAAAAAAUAAUAAUAUAAAAACCGAAGAAAAAACCAGCCCGGUUGAAAAGGAAAACCAAAGUCUUCUUUUUUAGCGUUAUAUUUGACGCACUACAAAAGAUGGAAAACGAAAAACUUAGAACAUGAUCAACAGAGGUGUUUGAGUAGGCGAGAUGGCUCUGUCUAAGAGCACGUAGUUUCCUGACAUGCUUGAAAUGGCCCCAUUUUUUUCAUGCCUUAUCCUAUAUCCUAUAUACUUAAGAAGUUUACCUCCACUACUUCAUUUAUCUCAACAUGCAGCAUAGCCAUGUCAUCAUCCAAUCACAUCCAGCCACGUCACACAGUCCCACUCAAGACCACGUCAGGUUUUUUUUUCUUCGUUGGAAGUUUCCAAGCGGAACCCACAACAAAUUGACCAACGUUUCAAGUAUUAAGUCAAAUGCCACGUCGUCCCUUCCAUUACCAGUGUCCAAACUGACAGAGGACCAGCCAUCUCCGAUCUAUAUCGUCUGUUCUCUCCUCUCCCCACAAAAGUGACUCUUCCUUCUCCAGCCUUUUCCUCAACUUUUAAUCUCCUCCAGUGACGCCUGAGCUCCUCUUAAUUGUAAUCCACUCAGAAGCAUCAUGGACAAAUUCACUACAAAGGAGGGAGACGGAUCUCACAUGUUGUUUGUCCACCCCAUCACUGACCUAAAGUCCGCCAAGAACAACACAAAACGGAGAUUCAAUACAAACGAAUCUCCCAUCUGGCAAGCGGCUCCUGCACGGCGUUCUUCAAGAUGCAGCACCGAGAGAAGGGCCGCAUCAGGGUGCUUCUCUCCCUGCCGCCAACGCUUUUCUCCCCCACUUCUUUCACCAGAUCGUGAGGAAAGAUGGGGGGCCGUGUCCGAGAGGAGGGCCGCAUCAGGAGGCUUCUCUCUCCUUCCCGACGCUUUUCUCCCCCACUUCUUGCACCAGAUCGUGAGGAAAGAUGAGCUCGAUUUGUUGUUGGUUCGUACUAUCACAACUAGGUCUCGCCUGGUCACGAGUAACUGAGUAAGUGCUUUUUUUGCAACUUUGCAUCUUCCAGGGCUAUUACCCAUGGUCGCUGGGAACGCCUAUUCUCUCACAUCAGCAAGACCUCGCUGAUUCAGGAAGAAAAAUUGGGCAUAAGUUGCAACCUCCGUUCUCAGGAAGGAGCAUGAUCUCGAUUUUGUGGUGAUUAGUGGCGGUCUCUGUUCUCUUUUUUCAUAAUUACAUUUUAAUUUCAGGCCUUAGUUUGGCUCCAACGGAAAGUCAAAAACAGUUAUGUUUCAGUCUAAGGAUGUUUAUUUGUAUUGCUUUUGUCAUCAGGUGGAGCACAUAAGAUUAUUUUAUCAGAACUGUCCAGGAGCACCUGCAAUGGAAAGUCUUCCGAAAGCUUGGGGAUAUCUUUGCUCGCUUCUUCUGUAUGAUUAAUUUAGUGAACUACAGUGCACAUCAAUGUAUGGAAUACAUAUCAACAAUCAAUUAUAUAACCGUAUUUUUUGGUUUUCUAAUUGAUAAUUUUGUUACUUGCUAGAUUCCUGUUUUGUUUAUGUAUAUUCAGGGCCAUGAUGUGUUCUCUUUCUUUUGCAAUGCUACACGUAGAAGCAUUUGUUUUCUCAGUUUUUUGUAGCAAUUAUUGUGAUCAAACAUCUCAUAUUUGUUCUCUUAUAUUUUGCUCAAAAUCAAUUGUGAACGGGCUCAAAAUCAUCUAUGAAUAUGCUAAUUCACAAUUAUCGUGUACCAUGCAGGAAGGAUCCAAUCCAGUUGGUAUAUGCAACUAAAUGAAUUUUUGUUACAUUUGAACACCCGAGAGAAUCUUUUAUGUUGGGUAAAAAUAUUUGUGCCUUUUUUUUUCAAAUCAAGUAUCAGGUUACUACCAACAUGUUCUGUCGAGUACCAAAAACAAUAGAUUUAUGGAUUCGUAUCGCAAUUAUUUUUACUAUGUAUGUAGAUAAAUUGGUAGUCCUCAAUUGAUAUUCAAUCAUGACUUCAUUUAACUUGCCCAUUUAUUUUGCAAGAAACAUCAUCAGACUAAGAAAAUUCAUUGUUUGUCGUUUCAAACUUUCAUAGCUCCCUAAAUUACAUUAGGGCGGCCGCCAAUAACGUUAGUAUUUUCUUAGAUUCGAUUUAGAUUGUUACCUAAGGAAGGAAAUGCUGAAAUAAUUAGUAGAUUUUUCUUUAAUUAUGCUGAUGUCCUAAAACUUAAUCUUUUACAUCUAGCGACUAUAAUAACCCAAUUGUUUCUGAUUUUUCAUACCAUUCUAUAUAUUCUUUUUUCUGCAAGAUAUUAUUAUAUAUUUUCAUUUUAUGGUAAUUUCUCACUCCAUAAACCCCCCUUCCAUACGGUGCUACAAAUUCCCGCAGCAACGCGUGGGAUGUUCUCUAGUAUGACCAAUUCAAGGCACUAUGCCAAGUUGUUUUGGUUUUCAACAAGUUUUGCAUUUUUCAGAGUUUUCUCGGUCAAAAUCGCCUGAUAAAUGGGCAGACGUGUCACAACUUGCAUACGGUGUCAGAAAUCGUUCAAACCUGGCAUGGAUGACUAUGAUGGUCAUGCCCACCUGGUUGAAAAGGUCGGGGUCAUUUUAAGAAUGUCCAAAUGUAAACCAUGUUUAAUUGAGGAUGUUCGGGUUGGCUAGAAGACUCUACCUGAGGGUACAUUGUUUCUCAACAUCCUUUAAAUGGCCUAAUUUUCCCACCUCCUUCUAUGAUCAAAUCAAGCACCAUGUCAAUUUGUUUAAGUUUUCGAUAAUUCUUGCAUUUUUUAGAGUUUUCUCGGUGAAAACUGGCUGAUAAAUGGCUGGACGUGACACAACAUGCAUAUGGUGUGGGAAAUUCAUUCAAACCUGACAUGGAUGCCUACCAUGGCCAUGCCCGCCUACUGGAGAAGGUAUAUCAUGUUCAACAGAGGGUGUUUGGGUAAGCGAGAAGGGUCCAGUUGAGGGCAUGUUUUUGCGGCAUCCAUUAACUCAAUCGAAAUCUUUCCAUGAUCUUAUAUGACCGAUUAAACGCACCAUGCCAAGUUUUUCUGUUUUUCGACAAAUUCGAUCUUUUCUGUAGAUCUCUCGGUUAAAAAAGGUAGAUAAAUGACAUGACAUGUCGCAACUUGCAUAUUUUGUUGGAAAUCAUUCAAACCUGGCAUGGAUCCUUACCACGGGCAUGCCCCCUGCCUGCAAAAGUUGGGUCCAUUUAAAAAAAUUCAAAACUAGACCUUGUUCAAUGGAGGGUGCACCUGGAUGGGCAUGCCCAUGGUAGACAAUCAUGCUAGGUUUAACAAUUCACGACACCAUAUGCAAGUUGCGACAUGUUCGACCAUUUUAUCGGUCUUCUUUUACCAAGAAAACUCCAGAAAUGCAUAAUUUGUCGAAAACCAAAUCAACUUGGCAGGGUGCCUUGAAUUGCUCAUAAAAUGCCAUGAAAAAAAUUAGGUCCAUUUCUUCUUCUUUUUUGCUGGGGAAAUUGGGGCCAUUUCAAAGAUAUUAAAAAUAACGUGAUAUCAGACGAACCAUUCUGACCUUACCCAAUAAUCUCCGUUGAACAUGGUGUUUUUUAGACAUCCUUGAAAUGACCCCUACUAACAAAUACAAAGGGAUAAAAUUGAAAACAGUAAGUGUUUUCUAAAAGUAUUUAAUAAAAAAAUAUAGAAAAAAGAAUUUAGAAUCAUUAGUUUAAAAAGUUAGUUAAAACAUGUAUUUUGGUAUUGAAAAAAGAUAAAAGUGAAUUAACAAAAUAAGAAAUGAAAUGAAAAAAUAGAAAAGAAAAUAAAAAGCUUAGGCCUUGGCCUAACAAGGCAACGACAUUGCUCCCGUCGGGUGCGUGUGGGCCCAGUCCAACAGCUCACGGAUUUGAAAAAAGUUCAACAAGUUUUUACACAAUAUUCAUGGAUUUGAAAAAAGUUCAAUAAGGAAAUUUGCAAAAAGGUUUUCUCUAUUUUGGGAACCUCGGCUACCCAGCCAUUUUUUCGGUUUUGGGACGUUCUCGGAGGUCGUGAACCGUGUUUUUUCUUUUUCAUUUUUAUCUUCUCUCUUGUUCAUUUUUUGUCUUCUUUGACUUUUCGUUUAUUCUGUUUAUUAUUCUAUUUCUCAUAAAUUUAUUUUUUCAGAAUUCCAAUUUUGUUCAUAUUUUUCUGGAAUUCCAAAUUUGUUACUGAUUUUCAGAAAAUGUUCAUGUUUAAAAUUUUGUUCUUUUAUAAAAAAAAAAUGCUCGUGUUUUGACAUUCUGAGCAAGUUUGAAAGGCAUGAACAUUCUUUUAAAAUUUAUGUACAUUCUUUAAAAAACAAAUGUUAGUAUUUUAUGAACAAAACAGGAAAACCAGGAACCCUAAUGAAAACCGUGCAAAAAAACAUAAACCAAAGAGUGAAGGUGAUGUGUUUUUCUCUUGGCGUUAUGUCUCUCGAACAAGAAGAAGAAAACAAGGUUAGUAGGGAAAAUCAGAUAUGCUAACCCAUAUGGUUUGUGCGGUCACACGUAGUGCGCGAGGGCUGUAGUUCGAAUCCAGCCAACGACACCUAUUUUUUGAUGACUAAAACUAAAAAACCUAAAUGGGCUGAGCCCAUGUGGGAGGGCUGUUCACCGGGUAUUAUAUGAACCUACGGUGUAUACGUAGAAAAAGAGGGUACAAUUUGUGAAAAGUCCAUACUACCCUUUAUACGUUUUGUGAGGGGGGUGUACCGAAGCAUUCCUCGCUUGCUUGGCCGUGCUUUAGAACGUAUAAGUAACAGAAAUGUUGACCUUGUCAAAUAACGCACGAGCCAUUUGUAAGUCGCCUGAAUUCAAAUACGCACAAGUCAAUUUUGGAGAGAACACAAGCACAACUUGAUGGCGAGCUGCGGCGUCCUAGGCAGAGGCGAGGAAGCGGGUUGACCGGUGUGGUUGGGGGUGCAGUGGCUCACCGGGGAAAUUAGAUGGCUAAGGGAGCUUUAGAGGGACGAUCAUGGUUGGCGGCAACACGGCAGUGGGCAGCAGUGAGGAGUAGGUGGGACCACUGAUACCUCUCAAAAGCCUGUUUUGAGAUGUGUAGGAGCGCCGCCGGCCGCAGGUGGGGGAGGCAGGCGUAUCGGCCAAUGGUCAUGGGCGGUUCGGAAGGAGGAAGAGCUUGAGGUAGAAGAUAUAAAACAGGUGUCCAAUGAAGAUCCAAAAUUUUGGCAACUUUCAAAUAGUCAUGCCCUUUUAAUAAAUAAUAUCAGAGAAAUCUCGUAAAACCAUAGGAACCUGAAUAUAUCCAAAAUGCUAGUGCAUUUUAAUAUACUCUUCCAUUUAUAGCAAGAAUAAAUGUGAGUAGUUACGAAAAUUUGACAGGCGGUCACUGCAAUAUAACUAGGUUUGAGCACUGGAACCCAAAUUACCAACCUCAGUGGGGUUGGGACUUGGGACUUGGGACCUGGCUAGCUAGCUCGCUCCCGCCUCGCGCCGUACGUAUCCGUUUGGUAUAUACCUGACUGAGCGUGACAUGGAUAUGCAUGAUCUUCUAGCACGUGCGUACGUGCUACAGUUCAUUGAUAGUUUGGACCCGGGUGCUCAGCUAGCUAGCAUUGAGCGCAUAUGCAUCGAUUUGAACACGUGGGAUGGCACGCAUCUGCCGUCCUCCUAGCAAUGAAUAAUGGAGAUAUGAAAGACCGGUGCCUCCAACAGCCAACAGAUGAAGAUGGUCCGCUGAGGAUAAGACGAUAGAUUCUUCCAUUAUUGCUCUCUUUUUAUUUUCUUCCUCCACACCAUUACUGCAUGCGUGGUAUAUCUCCAACAAAGACUACGAGACGCUCAUAUCCAAGAUUUUCCGACCUCCAAAAUAUAUAAAGACCACAGGACUAGGGAUCCACCAUAGCCACAAUUAUCACAGAUCGAUUACCGCAACAACAACAAUAACAACAAAACAUCACACAUCAGUGACCACUUUUGCAAAACCACAUGCGAUAAGUUUCACCAAAAAAAUACACACUAUCAUGAGUUUUCCAAGUUGCCCGCCACAUUGCAAGAGCCCCUGGGCGCCAAAUGCAAAUCCGAAAGUGAAUCUUGUGAUCCAUCUUCUCUGGCGAAUAAUUACAACGUCAAAUCAAAAGCGCGUUACAUGUAUGCAUGCUCGAUCUACUACUAAUAUGUGUGCUACCGUUCAUUGAUACUUUGACCCAGCUAGCAUCCAGUGGCCGCAUGAAGGUGACGCUAUAACUUGCUGAGGAUAAGAUUAACGAAUGGAUAUGGUUUGCUGAGGAUAAGAUGAUACCCAUUGUUUCGUGAAGUGAAUGAUGGCAUCGCUUGUUUUUUUUUCAAACAUGGGGAAGGGACUUGCAUGCCCAAAUCUGGCCUUAGAUUAACAAAGCAAGGAAUAGCCGGCGAACCUCCCUAGUCGUCCAAAUCGCACACCCGAAACAUUUUAUAUUUCUGUAGUUGAUAUGUAGCUCAAGAGUGGAGUUCAAUACACAUGUUGAUGAAGAAUACAUGUAUGCACCAAGGUCAUUUGGAAUCUCCAAGGAGAACAAGAACGGAAGAGCAGGAGCGCGGAACUGCCUCUUACCUCUCCCCCGCCUCCACUAAGGCAAAUAAAAGAGAGCCAACAGGGAGCCUGCCCCUCCCGGUCUGUGGUCCCAUCGAUCUUAUUAUUAGAGAGGUUCUCACCAGAUCCUCUAUACACCGCUACGAUCCACCUUAGAGAAUAUCAAGUAGAGGAGGAAGACGCGAAGCCAGCGCCACUCACAAGCGCCAGCACACCUCUUGACCUGUACAAAAGAAUGGAGGAGCACAUGAGAGCGCCAGCAACCGUAGUUGCACAACGCCAUGAAUCUGGCAGGAACGCGACGGCAUGGGAACCGCCAUCACUGAAGAUACUUCCUUCGCCUCAUUGCCCUCAAUACAAACUUGAGGGCAAAUAAAAAGGAUCGGAGUAGUUAUCGAAUUUGGAUCCAAACGCCUCAUUAUUCAUCGGGGAGAAGCAAAGAAACAAGAAACCUACCACUACUCACCAAAGAUCCCCCCUUCCACCACCAUUUUGGUCGGCAACACCGAAGAGGGGAAGGAGAGCGGCCUAAAUCUACUGCACAAGGGCCAACCUCAGUCCAAGUUAAUCUAGGUGGAAGGGGGAGUGGAAGAGAGGGGUGGGGUUAUCUGAACGACCAAUGCUACACAGAUGAAUGAUAUGGUACAGGAUUUACGGAGUGGCUUACGUAGGAUUCUGAGGUUGGAGAAUUAGGUGAAGGGCCCCAACCAGUUCAAUUCGGGUGGAGGGGGGGGGGGGUAGUAAGGAAUGUCUCAUAACAAUAGUUUUGCUACUUCUCAGCUACCUGAAUUUUUUUUGUUGCCUAAGUCAGUUUUUCCUUCAUCCCAAGUGCAUGAGAUGUGCACGCCAGACCUCGCCAAAGAAGAAGAAGCCCCACUAUCUAUCUUGAGGGAAGGGGGAGUCAUAGCCUCAUUAUCGANNNNNNNNNNNNNNNNNNNNNNNNNNNNNNNNNNNNNNNNNNNNNNNNNNNNNNNNNNNNNNNNNNNNNNNNNNNNNNNNNNNNNNNNNNNNNNNNNNNNNNNNNNNNNNNNNNNNNNNNNNNNNNNNNNNNNNNNNNNNNNNNNNNNNNNNNNNNNNNNNNNNNNNNNNNNNNNNNNNNNNNNNNNNNNNNNNNNNNNNNNNNNNNNNNNNNNNNNNNNNNNNNNNNNNNNNNNNNNNNNNNNNNNNNNNNNNNNNNNNNNNNNNNNNNNNNNNNNNNNNNNNNNNNNNNNNNNNNNNNNNNNNNNNNNNNNNNNNNNNNNNNNNNNNNNNNNNNNNNNNNNNNNNNNNNNNNNNNNNNNNNNNNNNNNNNNNNNNNNNNNNNNNNNNNNNNNNNNNNNNNNNNNNNNNNNNNNNCACCGGCUAGCCAGGGAGUGAGGGGGAAGGAGAAGGAGGCAAGAGGUUAGUCAUGGUUUGGUCGGCGGCUGCGUGAGGAAGAAGAAGGUGCAGGUUAAAGAUAAACAAUGCUUGAUCUAUUCUUAGCUCUUGGAUGAAGAUCUAAUGGACUUUGAUGAAAAUGAAGUGACAGAUGAUACUUUUUUUCAGGUACCUCUUUUUUGUUAGGGAUGUUUUUUCAGGUACCUGAUAAGUGCCGGGGAGAGUACGUACUCCCGUUGUCUCUUUUUUUUUGCAGGGAGUACUCCCGUUGUCUCGCCGUGUUACACGAUAUAUGCACGGUAGCAUGCAUGCACAAGACUACGGUAGGGUCGUCCCCUAGUUGUUGUUUUUUUGUCCAAAACGAAAGGUGCAUGCUCUCUGAUUGAUCGAUCCAUCUACUAUGAAUGCUCAUAUACAGACACAAGCGCUCAUAUACAGGCGCAUACACUCACCCGUAUGAACGCACACACGCACACCCUAUCUCUAUGAGCAUCUCUGCAAGACUGAGCCGGCAUAUCAUCUUGAGAUUUACGAAGCCACCGUAGGCGCCUCGUCGUCGACGGGAACGUCUCCUCCCACUGAAAGCACAUCGCCGGAAAUUCAGAAAUAAUGCGAGCACCAGGAUUUGAACCCUGGUGGGAUGGGGAUAUCACUGUCCAUCUAACCAUCUCAACCACGGGUUGGUUCGCCUGUGAGCGCAUAUAUAAUGGAGAUAUUUUGUUGAUUUUGUUGAUAUGUUGCACCGAUUUGAACACGUGGGGUGGCACGCAUCGACCGACCUCCACGCAACGAAUAAUGGAGAUAUGAAAGGCCAGUGCCUCCAAGAGCCAACAAGUGAAGAUGGUCCGCUGAGGAUAAGAUGAUAGAAUCUUCCUCCAUUGUUGCUCUUUUUUUUUGUUCUUCCUCUACACCAUUACUGCAUGUAUGUUCCAUAGAAUGCGAUGCUCUGUCCAAGAUUUUCCAACCUCCAAAAUAUAAAAAGACCACAAUGCUAGGGAUCUGCCAUAGCCACAAAUAUCACAAACCGAUCCCGCAACAACAACAACAACAACAACAAAAACAACAACAACAACAACAACAACAACAACAACAACAACAACAAUAACAACAACAGCAACAAAACAUCACACAUUGAUGACCACUUUUGCCAAAGAUGUGGGAUAAGUUUCACCUAAAAACACACUCAGAUUAUGAGUUAUCCAUGUUGCCCAUGCCAGCGCAUUGCAGCAGCCCUUGCCACAUGCAAAUCCGAGAGUGAAUCGUGUGUUCGAUCUCCUCGGACGAAUUACAGCGUCAAAUAAAAAGUGUGUAACACGUAUGCAUGCUUGAUCUGCUAGUAACGUGGUGCUACCAUUUAUUGAUACUUUGCCACAGCUAGCAUGCAGUGACCGCAUGAAUGUGAUGUUGUAGCUGGCUAGGGUCUUCUUCGAUCUACAUAGAUUUUCAAACAUCGAAAAUGGAUAUUGAUCUAUUCAUCUUCAAUAAUAGUAGUACAAUGUACAGUAGAAAAAAUUAAAAAUUACAUCCCAUCCGCAGACUAUGUAAUGACGACUACAAGCUCUGAGGCGAGCUGAAGGCGCGCUGCUGUCAUCGCCCCUCCCUCGCCAGAGCCGGGCAAACAUUAUUGUAGUAGAUAGUCGGGAAGUUGUCAUGCUAAGGCCACAUAGAACUAACGCACCAGAACAGCAACCGCCACCGAUGAAGAGUGUAUAUCUGAAAUAUCCAACCUCAAGACACAAGAACAUAGACGAACGAUGAACAUAUCCGAGAAAAUCCAGCAAAGACAGAUCCGCCGGAGACACACCUCCACACGCCCACCGAUGAUGCUAGACGUAUCAACGGAAUAGGGAGUAGGUGGGGAGACCUUAUUCCAUCUUCAGGGAGCCGCCGCCAUCUCGCCUUCCUGAGCAGGACAAAAACCCUAACAAAAAUAAAAAAAAAGGAUCUAAAAAUGGAGCCCUCCCACCGGCAAGGGUCGGGAUCCACUCCGCCCCCUUGGCCCUAAGGCCACCGGUGACGGGGUGGACCGGCGACGGCACCGACAGGAGGCAGAGGAACCCUAGAUUUUUGGGAGGUGGCGGCUAGCUAGGUCGUCUCAUCUGGCCUCUGAUGGCUGCAACUGCAACAUCGCCCCUAGGAUUGACAGAAAACGGAUAUGAUCUGCUCCGAUACCCACUGGUUUGUGAAGUGAAAGAUGGCAUUGCUCGGUUUUUCAACUGGCAGAAGGGACUCCUAGGAUCCCAAAUCUGGUGUUAGAUUAGCAAAAGUGUUACAGCUGUACACAAAGGACCCUGACAAAAUAAAAAUUACACAUUGGUCCUCCAUUCUACAAUUAUAAGCCCUCAAGAAAAAGGAAAAACACAAUUGGGUUUCGAUCACCAUGGCGACCUCACUGGAGAUGCAAAAGCCACCAUCUCCGGAAGCAACAUUGCCAGCUCUGGGCAACAAGAAUAUGGCCUCCACACUAGAGGUUGAAGAAGGGGGCAUCAAAAAAAGCGAGCAAAGCAAGGAACAACUGGUGAACAACCCUAGCCGCUUAAAUCGCACGCUCUAAACAUUUCCAUGGUUGAUCUGCGGCUCCAGCGCGAAGUUUGAUGCAAAGGUUGAUGAAGAAUACACCGAUACAGCGAGGCCAAUGGGAAUCCCCACGGAUCCAAAGCUCGGAAGAGCGGGAGCGUAGAUUUACCGCUUUUCCUACCGCGCCUCCACGAAGGUAAAUAAGAGAGAGCCAACAGGGAGCUUGCUCCUCCCAAUUCCAGGUCCCAUCAAUAUUAUUAUUAGAGAGGCUCUCACCAAAUCCUCCAUACACCGCUACCAUCCACUUCAGAGAAUAUAAAGUAGAGAAGAAAGACACCGAGCCGAUGCCGAUGGUAGAGCCAGCAUCCGAAGCUAUACAACGACAUGAUCUGGCAGGUAUGCGACGGCAUGGGAGCCGGCAUCACUCAAGGUACUUCCUUCGCCUCGUAGACCUUAACAGGAACUCGAGGGUAAAGAAAAGGACUGGAGUAGUCGUCGAAUCUGGAUCCAAACACCUCAUUAUUUGUCAGGAGAAGCAAAGAAAAAGAAACCUACCACUACGCACGAACAAGCCCCCCUUCCACCCCCAUUCCGGUUGUCAACAUAGGUGGAGAAUAGGGGAAGGAGGGUGUUCUGAAUCUACGACACAAGGGCCGACCUCAGUCCAUGUCAAUCUAGGUGGAAGGGGAAGUGGAAGAGAGGGGUGGGGGUUAUCCGAAUGAGCAAUCCUACACAUAUGAAUGAUAUGGUACAUGAUUAACGAGGUGGCUUGUGUGGGACUUUAUGGUUGCAGAAAUUAGAGGAAGGGCCCCACCCGGAAUGGGGGGGGGGGGUAUUAAGGAAUGUCCGGUGAUAACGGUUUUUCUAUUUCUAAGGUACCGUUUUUGUUGCGUUGGUCACUUUUUCCUUCUCCGUUCCUUCUUCCCGAGUGCAUAAGAUGUGGAGGCCGGACCCCAUUAUCUAUUUUAGGGCGCAAGCCACAACCCCAUUAUCUAUCUUAGGGUGAAGCCACAACCCCAUUAUUUAUCUUAGGGGUGGGGGUGCAGGAGGUCAUCAGAGUUGUUCACUGGUGUGACAGGGAUUAUAGGGAUGGCUGGGNNNNNNNNNNACAACACACUACCAGUAACGGCGCCCACCGCGCACGCGCCCAUGCCGUCGCCGGCGCCGAAGCUUGGAGGUGCAAACAUCGCCAGCCGGUGGCGCGAGCUCCAGGGCUCGGACUCGUGGGUUGGGCUCCUGGACCCGCUGGACUACGACCUCCGACAAUCCAUCAUAUCUUACGGCGAGCUCGCAUCGGCCGCCCACGACGUGUUCAACCUUGAGAAGCGGUCACCUCACGCCGGCUUCUGCUUGUACAGCCGCGACCACCUUCUCGCCGCCUCCACCGUGACCCACCCUGAGUACUACAAGGUCACCAAGUUCCUCUACGCGACCUGCGGGGGAUCAACGGCAUCGAGGUUGGCCACAUCCGUGCCAACGGUGACCAACGCGCUGUUCGUGCAACCGCUGGGAAAGGCCGAGGGGACUCCGACGUCCAACUGGAUGGGUUACGUGGCGGUGGCGACGAACGAGGGAGUUACAGCACUGGGGAGGCGUGACAUCGUCGUGGUGUGGCGCGGCACCGAGAACGAGUUGGAGUGGGAGGAAGACAAGCACUUCCUUCAGGUGUCUGCCGCGCCGGUGUUGGGCCGCUAUGCUGACGAAGAUUACAAGAACGCCAAGGUGCACCGUGGCUUCCUAUCCGUGUACACGUCCAGUGACAACAACUCCAUGUACAACAAGACCAGCGCCAGAGAGCAGGUGAGCCUUGCAUACUUCAUAUAUAUAUAUUGUCCUGUUCAAUCUUAGGCUUAAUAACAUACCAGCAGCCGGAAUUGUUCAAGGUGAAAUUUGUCUUCACUAAAGGUGUACGCACACAUGCAGGUUCUCGAGGAGGUAGGGAGGCUAAUGGAGGAGUACAAGGACGAGGUGACCAGCAUCACCGUCACCGGCCAUAGCCUUGGAGCGUCACUCGCCACCCUCACCGCCAUCGACCUGGUGGCCAACGACGUCAACGUGCCCCCUAACUCGAAGCAACCGCCGUGCCCCGUGACAGCGAUACUGCUGGCGUGCCCGCGAGUCGGGAACCCCACGUUCAAGUCCGCCUUCG